UCCACGUGCGAAAGCCUGAGACUCGUGGAGUCGGGAACGCAGCAGGUUGCCUGAGUCACCAGAAUGCAGUAAUGAAGCCAGGUUUCAGCACCCGUGGGGGCGGCUUUGGUGGAGGAGGCAGAGGAGGCCAAAGUGGCCGAGGAGGCUUUGGCGGUUGAGGUUGAGGCAGAGGGGGUGGUGGCUUCAGGGGACAAGGAGGUGGAAGUGGCAGAGGUGGAGGCUUCCGGUCUGGGGGCAGCCAGGGUCGAGGUGGUGGCCAGGGAAGCAAGAGAGGAAAUCAGUCAGGGAAGAAUGUGAUGGUGGAGCCGCAUCAGCAUGAAGGUAUCUUUAUCUGUCGCGGAAAGGAGGAUGCCCUUGUCACAAAGAAUCUGGUCCCUGGAGAGUCUGUGUAUGGAGAGAAGAGAGUCUCUAUUUCAGAAGGAGAUGACAGAAUUGAGUACCAAACCUGGAACCCCUUCCACUCCAAACUGGCAGCAGCAGUCCUUGGCGGCGUAGACCAGAUCCACAUCAAGUGGGGGGCCAAGGUGCUCUACCUUGGGACAGCCUCAGGCACCACCAUCUCCCAUGUCUCUGAUAUUGUUGGCUGGGAUGGUCUGGUCUACGCAGUUGAGUUCUCCCACCACUCUGGCUUGACCUCAUCAACUUGGCCAAGAAGAGGACCAACAUUAUUCCUCGAAUUGAAGAUGCUCGACACCCACACAAAUACCACAUGCUUAUCACAAUGGUGGAUGUCAUCUUUGCCGACGUGGCCCAGCCAGACCAAACCCGGAUUGUGACCCUGAAUGCCCACACCUUCCUGCGGAAUGGAGGACACUUUGUGAUUUCCAUUAAGGCCAACGGCAUUGACCCCACAGCCUCAGCAGAAGCUGUGUUUGCAUCUGAAGUGAAGAAGAUGCAGCAAGAGACCAUGAAGCCCCAGGAGCUGCUGACGCUAGAGCCUUAUGAAUGAAACCAAGCUGUGGUUGUGGGUGUGUACAGGCCAUCUCCCAAGGCAAAGAACUGAAACUCAGAGCUGUCUGGAUUGAAGAAAUGUGUGUUGUUACUGUUGCACAUGUGGCUUUUGAUUUUUUGGGGGAUGGGGAGUUGUUUUGUUUUUCUACUAAAAGACUCACCUGUC